rnacentral:rRNA from 1 species
UACGUAGGGGGCAAGCGUUGUCCGGAAUCAUUGGGCGUAAAGCGCGCGUAGGCGGCCCGGUAAGUCCGUUGUGAAAGUCAAAGGCUCAACCUUUGAACGCCGAUGGAUACUGCCGGGCUAGAGUCCGGAAGAGGCGAGUGGAAUUCCUGGUGUAGCGGUGGAAUGCGCAGAUAUCAGGAGGAACACCGGUGGCGAAGGCGGUUCUCUGGGCAUGAUCUGACGCUGAGGAGCGAAAGUGUGGGGAGCGAACAGG